ensembl:snRNA U6 U6 spliceosomal RNA
GCACUCGCUUCGGCAGCACAUAUACUAAAAUUGGAAUGAUACAGAGAUUAGCAUGGCCCCUGAGCAAGGAUGACACUCAAAUUAGUGAAACGUUCCAUAUUUUU